UACGAAGGGUGCAAGCGUUACUCGGAAUUACUGGGCGUAAAGGGCGUGUAGGCGGCCGCCUAAGUCAGACGUGAAAUCCCUCGGCUCAACCGGGGAACUGCGUCUGAUACUGGGUGGCUUGAAUCCGGGAGAGGGAUGCGGAAUUCCAGGUGUAGCGGUGAAAUGCGUAGAUAUCUGGAGGAACACCGGUGGCGAAGGCGGCAUCCUGGACCGGCAUUGACGCUGAGGCGCGAAAGCCAGGGGAGCAAACGGG
rnacentral:rRNA from 1 species